rnacentral:rRNA from 1 species
UGGGCAACCUGCCCCUCUCUCUGGGAUAACCCCGGGAAACCGGAGCUAAUACCGGAUACUCCGGCUGGAUCGCAUGGUCCGGCCGGGAAAGGUCCGCCGGAGAGGGAUGGGCCCGCGGCCUAUCAGCUUGUUGGUGAGGUAACGGCUCACCAAGGCUACGACGGGUAGCUGGUCUGAGAGGACGACCAGCCACACUGGAGCUGAGAUACGGCCCAGACUCCUACGGGAGCA